AUUGAACGCUGGCGGCAUGCCUUACACAUGCAAGUCGAACGGGCUUUGGGGCUUGCUCCAAAGUUAGUGGCGAACGGGUGAGUAAUAUAUCGGAACGUACCCUAGAGUGGGGGAUAACUAGUCGAAGGACUGGCUAAUACCGCAUACGAUCUAAGGAUGAAAGUGGGGGACCGCAAGGCCUCAUGCUCAUGGAGCGGCCGAUAUCUGAUUAGCUAGUUGGUAGGGUAAAAGCCUACCAAGGCGACGAUCAGUAGCUGGUCUGAGAGGACGAUCAGCCACACGGGGACUGAGACACGGCCCAGACUCCUACGGGAGGCAGCAGUGGGGAAUUUUGGACAAUGGGGGAAACCCUGAUCCAGCAAUGCCGCGUGAGUGAAGAAGGCCUUCGGGUUGUAAAGCUCUUUUGUCAGGGAAGAAACGGUGGGGGCUAAUAUCCUCUGCUAAUGACGGUACCUGAAGAAUAAGCACCGGCUAACUACGUGCCAGCAGCCGCAGUAA
rnacentral:rRNA from 1 species